rnacentral:rRNA from 1 species
UACGUAGGGUGCGAGCGUUGUCCGGAAUUAUUGGGCGUAAAGAGCUCGUAGGCGGUUCGUCGCGUCGGCUGUGAAAUCCCGAGGCUCAACCUCGGGUCUGCAGUCGAUACGGGCGGACUUGAGUACUGCAGGGGAGACUGGAAUUCCUGGUGUAGCGGUGGAAUGCGCAGAUAUCAGGAGGAACACCGGUGGCGAAGGCGGGUCUCUGGGCAGUAACUGACGCUGAGGAGCGAAAGCGUGGGGAGCGAACAGG